GACAGAGGGUGCAAACGUUGUUCGGAAUUACUGGGCGUAAAGCGCGUGUAGGCGGCAACGCAAGUCGGAUGUGAAAGCCCAUGACUCAACCAUGGAAGUGCACCCGAAACUGCAUGGCUCGAGUCCCGGAGAGGAAGGUGGAAUGCUUGGUGUAGAGGUGAAAUUCGUAGAUAUCAAGCAGAACACCUGCGGCGAAGGCGGCCUUCUGGACGGUGACU
rnacentral:rRNA from 1 species